CAACAGGGAUUGCCCUAGUAACGGCGAGUGAAGCGGCAACAGCUCAAAUUUGAAAUCUGGCCCUUGGGUCCGAGUUGUAAUUUGUAGAGGAUGCUUUUGGUGCGGUACCUUCCGAGUUCCCUGGAACGGGACGCCAUAGAGGGUGAGAGCCCCGUCUGGUUGGAUACCAAUCCUCUGUAAAGCUCCUUCGACGAGUCGAGUAGUUUGGGAAUGCUGCUCUAAAUGGGAGGUAUAUGUCUUCUAAAGCUAAAUAUUGGCCAGAGACCGAUAGCGCACAAGUAGAGUGAUCGAAAGAUGAAAAGCACUUUGAAAAGAGGGUUAAACAGUACGUGAAAUUGUUGAAAGGGAAGCGCUUGUGACCAGACUUGGGCCCGGUUAAUCAUCCACCGUUCUCGGUGGUGCACUUGGCCGGCCCAGGCCAGCAUCAGUUCGGCGCGGGGGAUAAAGGCUUCGGGAAUGUGGCUCCUCCGGGAGUGUUAUAGCCCGUUGUGUAAUACCCUGUACUGGACUGAGGUUCGCGCAUCUGCAAGGAUGCUGGCGUAAUGGUCAUCAGCGACCCGUCUUGAAACACG
rnacentral:rRNA from 2 species